UCUCAAACUCGUGACCUCAGGUGAUCCACCCACCUCGACCGCCCAAAGUGCUGUGAUUACAGGUGUGAGCCAGCCCACCCAGCUGAGAUCAACUUUUUUAGUGCCCACAUAUAAGUGAGAACGUAUUUGUCUGUCUAUGCCUGGCUUAUUUCACCUAACAUAAUGACUUCCAGUUCCAUCCAUGUUGCUGCAAAUGACAGGACUUCAUGCUUUUUUAUGGCUGAAUAGUAUGUCAUUUUGAAUAUAUACACCACAUUUUCUUCAUCCAUUCAUCUGUUAAUGGACAUGUUUCAAAGACUUCAUAUCUUUGCUAUUAUGGAUAGUUCUGCAAUAAACAAGGGGGUGCAUGUAUUCCUUUGACAUACUGAGUUCCUUUCCUUUAUUUAUUUAUUUAUUUUUGGGGGGACAGAGUCUUGAUCUGUUGCCCAGGCUGGAGUGCAGUUGAGCCAUCUUGGCUCACUGCAACCUCCACCUCCUGGGUUCAAGUGAUUCUCCUGUCUCAGCCUCCGGAGUAGCUGGGACUAUAGGUGCAUGCCACCAAGCCCAGCUAACUUUUUUAUUUUUAGUUGAGACGGGGUUUCACCAUGUUGGUCAGGCUGGUCUCGAACUCCUGACCUCAGGUGAUCCACCGGCCUCAGCCUCCCAAAGUGCUGGGAUUACAGGCAUGAGCCACUGAGCCUGGCCCAGAUUUCCUUUCCUUUGGAUAAAUAGCCAGUAGUGGGAUUGCUGGAUUGUAUGGUAUCUCUAUUUUUAUUUUUAUUAUUAUUUUAAAAAAUCUCCAUACUGUUUUCCAUAAUACUUGUACUAAUUUAUAUUCCCACCAACAGUGUAUGAGUUCCCUUACUCUGCAUCCUCGCCGGCAUCUACUUUUUUUUCUUUCUUUUUCUGUUUUUUUUUGUUUGUUUGUUUUGUUUUUUGAGAUGGAGUCUUGCUCUCGUUGCCCCGGCUGGAGUGCAAUGGCAGGAUCUCGGCUCACUGCAACCUCUGCCUCUUCAGUUCAAGUGAUUCUCCUGCUUUGGCUUACCGAGUAGCUGGGAUUACAGGUGCCUGCCACCAUGCCUGGAUAAUUUUUGUAUUUUUGGUAGAGAUAGGGUUUCGCCAUGUUGGCCAGGCUGGUCUUGAACUCCUGACCUGGUGAUCCACCUGCCUCGGCCUCAAAAAGUGCUGGGAUUACAGGUGUGAGCCACCACGCCUGGCCAAUUUUUUUUUUCUUUUUGUCUUUUUAGUAACAGUCAUUCUAAAUGAGGUAAAAUGUUGAAGUGCUCAACAUCACUAAUGAGCUAUGAUUAGUGAUAUUGAGCGUAUUUUUAUAUACCUGUUGGCUAUUUGUAUGUCUUUUGGGAAAUGUCGGAUUUUUUUUUUUUUUUUUUUACUGUUGAGUUGUUUGAGUUCCUUGUAUAUUCUGGAUAUUAGUCCCUUGUCAGAUGAGUAGUUUCCAAAUAUGUUCCCCUAUUUUAACAGGUUGUCUCUUCAUUCUGUUGUUUUCGUUGCUGUGCAGAAGCUUUUUAGUUUAAUAUAGUCCCAUUUGUCUGUUUUUUGUUGUUGUUGUUGCCUACUCUUUUGAUAUCUUAGCUAUAAAAUCUUUGCCUAGACCAAUGUCCUCAAGUGUUUCCCCUAUGUUUUCUUCCAGUAGUUUCACAGUCUCAAGUUUUAGAUUUAAGUCUUUAAUCAAUUUUCAGUGGAUUUUGUAUAUGGUGAGACACAGGAGUCUAGUUUCAUCCUUCUGAAUAGGAAUAUCGAGUUUUCACAGCACCAUUUAUUGAAGGGGGCGUCCUUUUCCCAAUGUAUGUUCUUUGUGCCUUUGUCAAAAAUCAAUUUGCUGUAAGUAUGUGGAUUUAUUUCUUGGUUCUCUAUUCUGUUCCACUAAUCUAUGUGUCUGUUUUUAAUACCAAUACUCAGCUGUUUUGGUUACUAUAGCCCUAUAAUGUAUUGCAUUGGGGGUUGCACUGUAAGGAACUGCAUUACAUGUGUUGAUUGCUUUGAGUAGUGUGGUCAUUUCAGCAAUAUUAAUUCUUCCAAUCUAUGAGCAUGGAACAUCUUUCCAUUUGUUUGUGUCCUCUUCAAUUUAUUUCAUCAGUGUUUUGCUGGAUACAUUUAUUCUUAGGUAUUUUAUAUAUUUUUGGUAGCUAUUGUAAAUGGGAUUGGAUUCUUGAUUUCUUUUUCUGCUAGUUCACUAUGGGUAUAUAGAAAAACUACUGAUUUUCUAUGUUGAUUUUACAUCCUGAAAAUUUACUGAUUUUGUUUAUCAGAUCUGAGGGUUUUUUUUUUUUUUUUUGGUGGAGUCUAGGUUUUUCUACAUAUAAGAUCACAUCGUCUGCAAAGAAAAACAGGCCAGGCACAGUGGCUCACAUCUGUAAUCUCAGCACUUUGGGAGGCUGAGGGAGGACUGCUUGGGUCCAGGAGUUCGAGACCAGCCUGGGCAACAUUGGGAGAUCCCAUCUCUACAAAUUUUUUUUUAAAUUCAAAAAAAAAAGAAAACAAAGAGGGAUAAUUUGACUACCUCUUUUCCAAUUUGGAUGCCUUUUAUUUCUUUCCCUUGCCUAGACUGCUCUCAUUAGGACUUCCACUGCUAUGUUGAAUAGAAGUGGUGAAAAUGAGCAUCAUUGUCUUGAUCCAGUUCUUAGAGGAAAGGCUUUUAGCUUUUCCUCAUUUGGUAUGAUGAUGUCAGUUCUGAGUUUGUCAUAUAUGGGCUUUAUUAUGUUGAGGUAUGUUCCUUCUGCACCUAGUUUGUUGUUUUUUUCAUGAGGGGUGAUUAAUUUUACUAAACGCUUUUUCCGCAACUAUUGAGAUGACCUUAUGGCUUUUGUCCUUCAUUCUGUUUAUGUCAGGGGUCCCCAGACCCUGGGCCACAGACUGGUACCCUCCUGGAACAGCAGGAGAUGAGCCAGUGAGGGAGCAUUACCACCUGAGCUCCACCUCCUGUCAGAUCAGAGGCAGCAUUAGAUUCUCACAGGAGUCAGAACCCCAUUGUGAACUGUGCAUGUGUGGGAUCUAGGUUGUGCACUCCUUAUGAGAAUCUAAUGCCUGCUGAUCUGAGGUGAAACAGCUUCAUCCUGAAACUACCCCCGACCCCCCACAUACGAUCCAUACAAAAAACGUCUUCCACGAAACCAGUCCCUGGUGCCAAAAAGGUUGGGACCACUGGUUUACGUGAUAUAUGAUGUUUACUGAUUUGCGUAUAUUGAACCAUUCUUGUAUCCCCGGGAUACAUUCCACUUGAUCAUGGUGGAUUAUCUUUUUGAAGUGCUUCUGAAUAUGGUUUACUAGUAUUUUGUAAAUGUACAAACUAUUAUGUGUCUAUUUCAUGAGGGAUAUUGGCCUGUAGUUUUCUUCGUUUGUUGCGUCCUUGUCCAGUUUUGGUAUCAGCAUAACACUGGCCUCAUAGAAUGAGUUAGGGAGAAUUACCUCCACUUCAGUUUUUUGGAAUAGCUUCAGGGGAAUUAUGUUAGUUCUUCUUUAUAAGUUUGGUAGAAUCCAACAGUGAAGCCACUUGGUCCUGGGCUUUUCUUUGUUGGAAGACUUUUUAUUACUGAUUCAAUCUUGUUACUUGGUCUGUUCAGGGUUUUUCUUUCUUCCUGAUUCAAUCUUGAUAGGUUUACGUGUCUAGGAAUUUAUCCAUUUCCUCUAGGUUUUCAAGUUUGUCAGUGUAUAGCUGUUCAUAACAGUCUCUAAUGUUCUUUUUUAUUUCCGUGUUAUCAGUUGCAAUGUCUCCUUUUCAUUUCUGAUUUUGUCUAUUUGGCUCUUCUCUCUUUUUUUUUUCUUGGUUAGUCUAGCUAGUGGCUUAUCAGUUUUAUCUUUUUAAAAACACCCAACGUUUCAUUAAUCCUUUGUAUUGUAUUUUUGGUCUCUAUUUCAUUUAAUUUUGUUCUGAUAUUUAUUAUUUCUUCUACUAAUUUUGGGUUUGGUUUGUUCUUGUUUUUCUAGUUUUUUAAGGUGCAUUAUUAGAUCGUUUAUCUGAAAUCUUUCUACUUUUUUGAUGUAGGUAUUUAUUGCUAUAAACUUCCCUCUUAGUACUACUUUUGCUGUAUCCCAUAGGGUUUGGUAUGUUGUGUUUUCAUUUUCAUUUGUUUCAAGAAUUUUAAAAAAUUUCCUUCUUAAGUUUUUCAUUGACCCAGUGGGUGUUCAGAAGCAUGUUUAAUUUCCAUGUAUUUGUACAGUUUUCAAAGUACCUCUUGUAACUGAUUUCUAGUUUUAUUCCAUUGUGGUCUGAGAAGAACUUAAUAUAAUUUCAAUUUGUAGAAAUUUGUUGAGACUUGUUUUGCCUAAUAUAUUAUAUAUCCUGGAAAAUGUUCUGUGUGCUGAUGAGAAUAAUGUGUAUUGUGGAGCUGCUGGAGAAAAUGUUCUGUAAAUGAGUGUUAGGUCCAUUUUGUCUAAAGCACAGUUUAAAUACAUUAUUUCUUUGUUAAUUUUCCAUUGAUAUGAUCUGUCUAAUGUUGAGAGUGGGGUGUUUAAGUCCCUCACUAUUAUUUCAUUGGCAUCUAUCUCUCCCUUUAGAUCGAAUGAAUUUGCUGAAUGUACCUGGGUGCUCCAGUAUUGAGUGCAUGUACAUUUAGAAUUGCUGUAUCCUCUUGCUUAAUUGAUCCUUUUACCAUUACAUAAUACACUCUUUGUCUCUUUUUCCUGUUUUGACUUUUUUUUCCUAAGCCCUUUAAUAUUCACUUAAAUAGUUGAGGCAUAAACAAUAAUAAAACUACCUUUUUUAUGUUACAAGAAGACUUUGUAUGAUAUCUACAUGAUAUACCAAUUUUCUCAUAAUCUCUUUGGCAAUAACAUUUCAUUAACACUCUAGUCCACAGGCUGAUUCAACAGGGUCAGAAAGGCAGGCAGGAAUAUGUUAAAAAUAAACUUAUUGAGGGGUAAGAGGAAUCCAAACAUUUACUGACUAUUAUGCUCACUACUAGGUUUUACAUAGUUAACAUAAAUUAAAUGUGAAUGUAAGUUCUAGUUAUCUGUUAACAGAACAGCAUUGCUACAGCUAGGUUAAUUCUAAACUUUAAAUGUUCUUUCACUUUAAGGACAAAUCGUGGAACCAAACAAUAUGUCUUUGCCUCAAAAUGCAUGUCAAUGUGCACUAAUAUAUAUUUUCCAUUUCCAAAGUUUUUUUCACAAGUGUGCAACAUUAGCACAUGAAAACAUUCAAGCUCUUGGCCGGGUGCG
rnacentral:lncRNA from 1 species